rnacentral:rRNA from 1 species
GACGAACGCUGGCGGCGUGCCUAAUACAUGCAAGUUGAGCGAUGAAGAUUGGUGCUUGCACCAAUCUGAAGAGCAGCGAACGGGUGAGUAACGCGUGGGGAAUCUGCCUUUUAGCGGGGGACAACAUUUGGAAACGAAUGCUAAUACCGCAUAACAACUUUAAACAUAAGUUUUAAGUUUGAAAGAUGCAAUUGCAUCACUCAAAGAUGAUCCCGCGUUGUAUUAGCUAGUUGGUGAGGUAAAGGCUCACCAAGGCGAUGAUACAUAGCCGACCUGAGAUGGUGAUAGGCCAAAGUGAGACUGAAACACGGCCCAAACUGCUACGGGGGGCAGCAGUCGGGAAUCCUCGGCAAUGGACGAAAGUCUGACCGAGCAGCGCCGCGUGAGUGGAGAAGGUCUUCGGAUCGUAAGACUCUGUUGGUGGAGAAGAGCGUCGGUGAGAGCGGACAGCGCAUCAAGUGACGGUAACUACAAAGAACGGGACGGCUAAAUACGUG